rnacentral:rRNA from 1 species
AGUGAACGCUGGCGGUAGGCCUAACACAUGCAAGUCGAACGGCAGCACAGUAAGAGCUUGCUCUUACGGGUGGCGAGUGGCGGACGGGUGAGGAAUACAUCGGAAUCUACUUUUUCGUGGGGGAUAACGCAGGGAAACUUACGCUAAUACCGCAUACGACCUACGGGUGAAAGCAGGGGAUCUUCUGACCUUGCGCGAUUGAAUGAGCCGAUGUCGGAUUAGCUAGUUGGCGGGGUAAAGGCCCACCAAGGCGACGAUCCGUAGCUGGUCUGAGAGGAUGAUCAGCCACCCUGGAAGUGAGACACGGUCCAGACUCCUACGGGAGGCAGCAGUGGGGAAUAUUGGGCAAUGGGCGAGAGCCUGAUCCAGCCAUACCGCGUGGGUGAAGAAGGCCUUCGGGUUGUAGAGCCCUUUUGUUGGGAAAGAAAAGCAGCAGGUUAAUACCCCGCUGUUCUGACGGUACCCAAAGAAUAGGCACCGGCUAACUUCGUG